GACGAACGCUGGCGGCGUGCCUAAUACAUGCAAGUUGAGCGCUGAAGGUUGGUACUUGUUCCAACUGGAUGAGCAGCGAACGGGUGAGUAACGCGUGGGGAAUCUGCCUUUGAGCGGGGGACAACAUUUGGAAACGAAUGCUAAUACCGCAUAAAAACUUUAAACACAAGUUUUAAGAUUGAAAGAUGCAAUUGCAUCACUCAAUGAUGAUCCCGCGUUGUAUUAGCUAGUUGGUGAGGUAAAGGCUCAACAAGGCGAUGAUACAUAGCCGACCUGAGAGGGGGAUCGGCCACAUUGGGACUGGGACACGGCCCAAGCUCCUACGGGAGGCAGCAGUAGGGAAUCUUCGGCAAUGGACGAAAGUCUGACCGAGCAACGCCGCGUGAGGGAAGAAGGGUUUCGGAUCGUAAAACUCUGUUGGUAGAGAAGAACGUUGGUGGGAGUGGAAAGCUCAUCAAGUGACGGUAACUACCCAGAAAGGGACGGCUAACUACGUG
rnacentral:rRNA from 1 species